CAAUCGCGGCUACAAGUGUCGAAAGACUGUAGGUGAGGAAAGUCCGGGCUUCAUAGGGCAGAAUGCCAGAUAACGUCUGGUGGAGGUGACUCCAAGGCUAGUGCAACAGAAAUAUACCGCCAUUUUUAAUGGUAAGGGUGGAAAGGUAGCGUAAGGGACUACCGCACUUUUGGUAACAAAGGUGGCUAUGUAAACCCCAUUCGAAGCAAGACCAAAACAAAAGUGAUACGGCUGCCCGUCGUGCUUUUAGGUAGGUCGCUUGAGCCUGCUGGCGACAGUAGGACUAGAUAGAUGAUUGUCUAAUACAUAACCCGGCUUAUAGUGUUGCUCGA
rnacentral:RNase_P_RNA from 1 species